rnacentral:lncRNA from 1 species
CUGCUUUCUCGCCGUCAUGGCCGCCUCCGAGGCGCGGAGCGCACUGUUUCUGCCUUUCUAGGGGGUUUGGGGGCUCUUUGUCCGGUCAGAGGCCACCAACAGCCCCCCAGGUUGCCGAGGGCCUGCUAACUGUGUUCCUGGGAGGUGGGCGAGUGACCUGAGGGGUUAACUUUGGGACUGUAGUGGUUUUCCCGGCCGAAAGGCCUCUGGCUGCUACAGGCUUGGUGAGGGGAGGGUCCAGCCUGCCAGACCCUGGCCGUCUGGCCGUCUGCCUCUGAAAAGUUGGGUUGGCCAGCAUCUAGGAGUUUAGCAGUGUGCUUUUGGGUGUUGUAGUUUGUGUCCGGCACCUUUCCCUUUUCACACAGCAUUUGGCUCUGUUUAUUUAGUCCUUGGUGCUCAGGACCCUCUUUAGGGUUAAGUUGGGAUCAUUUUCUUUGGGUCCAGGGGGACUUAUGCAAGAACUGGAAUCUUAGAAGGUGUGUACAGCGGUGUCCUGGGUGUCUAUUGUCUGGGGUGUAAGGAAUUGCAUGGAUGUGAGCAAUUUCACGAAUCUGUGAAUGUGUGGCUAGCUUUUUAUUGCAUGUGGUGGACUUUAUCCUAGUUUGCUAAUGCUGAGAGGCUGUGUCAGGCAGUUCCUGCUUGUGAAAUGCUUUUCUGUUAACUUGGAUGUGUUCUUAAAUCUUUGGGAGCUUCAGAGGGGUGUUUUGCAGUUGUUGUGGGAAGAUGUGUGUCUAAAACUGAAUUUUCAAAAACUGUCAGAAUCACAAGUAACUUUAGUUCUAGGGAGCAACCCCCCUUGGCUUUCCUGGUACUGCAGAGUUGUCGGGGGUUCUUUUAUGGAAAUCAGGUUUGCUCUCAGGUGUGUUACCUUACUCUUGGCUCAUAGGGUUCCUCUGCAUGUUGAGACUCAGCUGUUUGGUAUCAGGUACUCUUUCCACACUUGAGACAAAAUGGAGCACUGUGUUUUGACAUGUAAUUACAUGUAUCAGAAUCUCAGGGUAACAUCAGAUUGCUGUGCACCUCAGGACCUGUUUUACCUGUCCGUACAAAGUUGGAUCUCACUGUGUCUGCCACUGUGUACUAGUACUUGCAUAAAUUUUGCCUUGUUUCUGUGUUCUGGGUGUUGACUACAUAACCUGAGGCAUAACUGGUCACAAAAAGCCAUUUCUCAAACAGUAUUAUUAAAAAGUUUUGGAGCACUGGGGUCUAGGAAAUUUUUUCACUUAAGUUGGAUGAAAUAAGGGAUUUGAAAUAAGGUAUAACAAAAGUUUUGGAAUUCAGCUACCAAUUUUUAGUUUUAGGGGCAGCCACAUGACUUGAUCUAGAAAAAGUUUAAUUAAAAAAACCUGUUGCAUUCUUUGUUGGUAUAUUAGAGCACAUAAAGACUCAUUGUGUUUUCAUACAUUAUUUAAAAAACAUCUUUGAAGAAUGUGAUGAGUGGGAGUCUCAUAAUUCCCCUCUUCUUUGGAUUUGCUUAGUAUUUGACUACUUCAGAAUGUUGUUGUGACAGAGAAAGGAACAAAGCUGGCUAAGUUUAUAUGUGAUUUCUGUUGAAAGUGAUGUCAGUUACAGAUUGAGACUCAGGAAGGUAUUUCCUUCCCUCUGACUUAACCCCAGUAUCUCAGAGUAUUAACUCACUCAGCGGGGGAAUUGGGUCUGUGAUCCCAGCUACUUAGGAGGUGGAGGCAGUAGGAUCAAAAGUUCAAGGCCAGCCUUGGUUUCCUGAGCCCCUGUCUCAAAAUUAAAAAUGACUGGGGAUGUGUCUCGGUGGUAAAGCACCCCUGGGCUUAAUUCCCAAAUAAGUACACAAUAAGUAAAUAUAUAUUAACUCGUAAGUUGAAAAAAGAUUGAGAAAUUUAUUUUUAAAUGACCCACACUGUUUUUAUUUGGUGAUAUGGUAAAAUAACAUUGAUUCUGGUGAAUUGGUUUUGUAUCUUAGAAAGUCUGAAUGUUGGAGUUUAGAUUUGUAGAAUCAUUGAAAACUAACCACAACCAAAGUGUUAAUUUGCUUUGAAAGAAGUUGCAUAAAUUUUUAUUGCCAGGUAGAACAAAUGAUUCAUUAGAAGGUGUCUGAAGGUGCUUUGUGAAUGAAAGAGUAUUUACUUGGUUAAGUUUAGAGAUAAACUCAUCUCUACAUUUACAGAACCCUUUUGGAUGUUCAUAUAAAUACCUACCUCUCUCCAUGAAAUAGUAAGAUUUUGCACCCAAGAAUUCUCUCAUUUUAUCCUUGAGGGCUUAUGGUACUCCAUUUUCUACUCUCAUCACUCCAGUUCUGCUACUGGUGUAAAAUGUCUUUAAAACUUGCAAAGACAACAAUAGGUGAUUUAGAAAGAAAGCAUGGUAAGACCCAAUUAUCUUUUCUGUAGAGUGAUUCUUAAGAUUGUAUGGACACAUUUGAUAGAUAUGUCAAUAACUGUCUUUUUGAAACUUAGGGUUUAUAUGGUUUCACCAAAACUCCUUUCAAUAAGACAUAACACCAAAGAAUAAUUUUCUUGACCAAGGUGUUAUAAAUGAAAGCUUUUGGUUAUAGUGUUCAUUUAAAAAUGAAAUAUAUAAGCUUCUGAAUUAUAGAAUUUGAAGAUGACAAAAAAUAAUUUUUUUAAAAACCCCAAGUUUUCAUUUUAGAUUGUAGCUGAUAUAGAGACACUAGGGAGGGAUUUGGAUAGGAGUAUCUGGGGCUUUUACUGUGGUCCUUUCUAUUCUCAUUUUCCAUUGCUAAGAGUAAACAGUUCUUACUGGAGCAUUUCUGCAUCUGUGAAUAUUUGUGAGCAGUAAAAUUGCAUAAGAACAACAAGUCACCCAUUUAGAAUUUGAUCUUUAUUUUUCUUUCUUUGGGAGUGGAGGGUAACCAGGGAUUGAACUCAGGGACACUUGACCACUGAGCCACAUCCCCAGCCUUAUUUUGUAUUUUAUUUAGAGACGGUCUCACUGAGUUGCUUAAUGCCUCACUUUUGCUGAGGCUGGCUUUAAAUUUGNGGGAUGGGGAAGUUAGUCUUCGGAGCCAGGGCGACUCCCAACAGUUACCAACAGUCUGAACAGUGAAGACAGAGAUGCAAAACUGGUCUUUUUCAGAAGGAAUUUGAAAAACACUUCUUGCCUGACAUGCUCAUGAAAUAUUUGUGAAGAUUGAUUUGGAUGAUAUAAGAAAAAAUCCUUGAAUUCACAUAAAAGAAUAGAACACAGCUUUGUAUAUAUUUACUAAUCUAAAAAAAAAAAUUAUGGGGCUGGGAUUGUGGCUCAGUAGUAGAGUGCUCACCUAGCAUGUGGGUUCGAUCCUCAGCACCACAUAAAAAUAAAUAAAGGUAUUGUGUCCAACUACAACUAAAAAAUAAAUAUAAAAAAAUUAUUUGUUAACCACUUUCAUUCUUGUUUUCAAACUCUAAAUUCAUGUUUCUCUAUUUUAAUUUUUUUUUUAAAAGGCAUUUUGGUGGUUUUUUGUUUUUGUUUUUGUGGAGGCAGCUAUAUAUGUAUUAAAGAGUGGUCAAUUUGUUCCUUUUCAUUUUAGUAUUGACCUACUACUUAGAGUAUAUGUAGUUUGUAAGAGAAAAAGAGGGGGGCGCAGUUUAAAGUGUAGACAUUAAUGGGGCUGGAGGUGUGGCUCAGUGGUAAUGAACUUGCCUAGUAUACAGGAGGCCCUGGAUUCGAUCCCCAGCACUGCAGAAAAAAUAAAAGAAGAAGAUAUUAAUGAUUUAAAACUAUUUUAUAUCAUUUGCUCUAAUUAUAUUAGAAUUUGAACCUGUAGUAAAUUAUAAUGAGAAUUUUUAAACAUUGUAAAAUGGCUUAUUCCCAGAUAAGAUACUAUAUAUUUUGUGUUAAUUUUUUUUUCUUUUUGUUUUUUUGUUUUGAGCACAAUAGAGCAUGUCAGCUUUAAUCAUACAAGUACUCUAGGCCUAGGAGGUAAUUUUCUUAUAUGUAUAGGGCUACAUAAUUUUUUCAUUCUAACCAAACAUUUUUUAAAGGGAAACCAAUACUAAAUUAAAAUGAAGUUGACUCUCAUUAUAUUAUUCUGUUUGAGGGGGAAGUAUUCUAAAGUUAAAACCUUCUUAUUUUGCUUUUGCUGUACUAGGGAUGGAACCCAGGACCUUGUGCCUGCAAAGUGACAGUAAGUAACAUGGCAGAUUGUGUUUUCCAAAGAUGGAAAGUACUUUCUUGUAGCUCAGUAUGUUAUUCUGCAUUGUGACAUUGUUACUCUUUAAUCAAAAGUGUAGUCUUGAGCUCACUGGUAGAGUGUUUGCUUUGCAUGCUUGAGGCCUGGGACCUAUAUCAAUCCUCAGUGAGUACACACACACACACGGAGCAUUUCUUGCUUGAAUCUGGGUAGGUCUUUAGUCUGUUUUGACCAUGGAAAUGUAGAAGUGUUGAUGUACCAGUUAUAGGUAUUGCUCUUACCUGGCCCGACAACAUCUGCUUCUUGCCAUUUGGAAGCCAACCAGCAUUUAAGAAAUUCAUUUACCCUGAGGUCACUAUUUUGUGAGUAACCCAAACUUAUAUGACGAAUCCCUGAAGGAUGACACAUUAAGGGGAGAGGUGAAGGAGGAAAACCUAGGAAGCAGACAUAUAAGAAAGAAGUCUUGUGGGAAAUGGAUCCUCCAGCCCCAGCUGCCCUGUUUGUUGCUGUAUAAAUCACAUGAGCCACUCAGUGGUGCUCUUCCCAAUUUUUGAUCCAUAAAAUCAUGAGCAAAAUAAAAUGGUUUGUUGUAAACUUAUAAGGUUUUGGAUGCUUUGUUAAUGAGCUAUAGAGAACUACAACAAAUACUGGG